rnacentral:rRNA from 1 species
AACGAACGCUGGCGGCGUGCCUAACACAUGCAAGUCGAGCGAGAAAGCCCGCAAGGGUGAGUAAAGCGGCGCACGGGUGAGUAACACGUGGGUAAUCUUCCUUGGAGCUUGGAAUAACUCCCCGAAAGGGGUGCUAAUGCCGAAUAAGACCACGGGGUCUCUGGGCCCUGAGGGAAAAGGCGGCCUCUGUACACAAGCUGUCACUCCAAGAUGAGCCCGCGUCCCAUCAGCUAGUUGGCGGGGUAAUGGCCCACCAAGGCUUCGACGGGUAGCUGGUCUGAGAGGACGAUCAGCCACACUGGAACUGAGACACGGUCCAGACUCCUACGGGAGGCAGCAGUGGGGAAUCUUGCGCAAUGGGCGAAAGCCUGACGCAGCAACGCCGCGUGUGUGAUGAAGGUCUUCGGAUCGUAAAGCACUGUCGGGAGGGACGAAUAAGGUGGUGGCUAAUACCUGCCGCUGAUGACGGUACCUCCAAAGGAAGCACCGGCUAACU